rnacentral:rRNA from 1 species
CUAAUACAUGCAGUCGAGCGAAUGAUGAAGAAGCUUGCUUCUUCUGAUUUAGCGGCGGACGGGUGAGUAACACGUGGGCAACCUACCUAGUAGAUUGGGAUAACUCCGGGAAACCGGGGCUAAUACCGAAUAAUCCAUUUUGUCACAUGGCAAAAUGCUGAAAGGCGGUUUCGGCUGUCACUACUAGAUGGGCCCGCGGUGCAUUAGCUAGUUGGUGGGGUAAUGGCCUACCAAGGCAACGAUGCAUAGCCGACCUGAGAGGGUGAUCGGCCACAUUGGGACUGAGACACGGCCCAAACUCCUACGGGAGGCAGCAGUAGGGAAUCUUCCACAAUGGACGAAAGUCUGAUGGAGCAACGCCGCGUGAGUGAUGAAGGUUUUCGGAUCGUAAAACUCUGUUGUAAGGGAAGAACAAGUACGUUAGUAACUGAACGUACCUUGACGGUACCUUAUUAGAAAGCCACGGCUAACUACGUGCCAGCAGCCGCGGUAAUACGUAGGUGGCAAGCGUUGUCCGGAUUUAUUGGGCGUAAAGCGCGCGCAGGUGGUUUCUUAAGUCUGAUGUGAAAGCCCACGGCUCAACCGUGGAGGGUCAUUGGAAACUGGGAGACUUGAGUGCAGAAGAGGAAAGUGGAAUUCCAAGUGUAGCGGUGAAAUGCGUAGAGAUUUGGAGGAACACCAGUGGCGAAGGCGACUUUCUGGUCUGUAACUGACACUGAGGCGCGAAAGCGUGGGGAGCAAACAGGAUUAGAUACCCUGGUAGUCCACGCCGUAAACGAUGAGUGCUAAGUGUUAGGGGGUUUCCGCCCCUUAGUGCUGCAGCUAACGCAUUAAGCACUCCGCCUGGGGAGUACGGCCGCAAGGUUGAAACUCAAUAUAUUGACACCGGCAAAAGAACACC